rnacentral:rRNA from 1 species
GUACACGCUGUGACUAGCAUAUCAAUAAGCGGAGGAAAAGAAACUAACAAGGAUUCCCUCAGUAACGGCGAGUGAAGCGGGAAGAGCUCAAAUUUGAAAUCUUGAAAGGUCACCUUUCACGAAUUGUAGUUUAAAGAAGUGUUUUCUGUUACGAUCGUAAUAUAAGUUCUUUGGAAUAGGACAUCACAGAGGGUGAGAAUCCCGUCUAUGAUUGCGAUUUGUAGCUUUGUGAUACACUUUCAAAGAGUCGGGUUGUUUGGGAAUGCAGCCCAAAACGGGAGGUAAAUUUCUUCUAAGGCUAAAUAUUCGGCGAGAGACCGAUAGCGAACAAGUACCGUGAGGGAAAGAUGAAAAGAACUUUGAAAAGAGAGUUAAAUAGUACGUGAAAUUGUCAAAAGGGAAGCGUUUAACACCAGUGUUGUUUUCUGAAAAUCAACCUCUGUUAGCUUUAUGCAUGUUUGUUUAGACCUAAUCAGCUAUCUUGCAUGUUCUAUUGUUUGCAGUGGUGCACUUUUCAGUUUACAGGUCAACAUCAGUUUUUUUUACCGUAAAAAAGUUAAAGAAAGGUAGCUCAUGGCUCCGGUCGUGAGUGUUAUAGUCUUUUUCCUAUGCGGUAAGGAGAGACUGAGGUCUGCAGCUGUAGGCUAUUUGGCUAGAUACUCAGGUGCUAUGUGAUACCAUUUCAUAAACAACUUGUUGAUUAUGUUUUGUCUAUUGCAUACUCGCUUGUACUAUCAUACCUACGCUUAGGAUGUUGAGUAGCGACAUACGCA